rnacentral:rRNA from 1 species
GAUGAACGCUGACAGAAUGCUUAACACAUGCAAGUCGAUUCGAUUUACCUUCGGGUAUUGAGGAUGGCGGACGGGUGAGUAACGCGUAAGGAACUUGCCUCUUGGUCUGGGACAACUGUUGGAAACGACAGCUAAUACCGGAUAUUAUGAGAUUCUCGCAUGGGAAACUUAUGAAAGCUAUAUGCGCCAAGAGAGAGCCUUGCGUUCCAUUAGCUAGUUGGUGGGGUAACGGCCCACCAAGGCGACGAUGGAUAGCCGGCCUGAGAGGGUGAACGGCCACAAGGGGACUGAGACACGGCCCUUACUCCUACGGGAGGCAGCAGUGGGGAAUAUUGGACAAUGGGCCACAAGCCUGAUCCAGCAAUUCUGUGUGCACGAUGAAGGUCUUCGGAUUGUAAAGUGCUUUCAGUUGGGAAGAAGAAAGUGACGGUACCAACAGAAGAAGCGACGGCUAAAUACGUGCCAGCAGCCGCGGUAAUACGUAUGUCGCAAGCGUUAUCCGGAUUUAUUGGGCGUAAAGCGCGUCUAGGCGGAAAAAUAAGUCUGAUGUUAAAAUGCGGGGCUCAACUCCGUAUUGCGUUGGAAACUGUUUUUCUAGAGUACUGNAGAGGUGGGCGGAACUACAAGUGUAGAGGUGAAAUUCGUAGAUAUUUGUAGGAAUGCCGAUGGAGAAGUCAGCUCACUGGACAGAUACUGACGCUAAANCGCGAAAGCGUGGGGAGCAAACAGGAUUAGAUACCCUGGNAGUCCACGCCGU